UCCGGCUUAUCACCGGCAGUCGCCCUAGAGUGCCCAACUUAAUGAUGGCAACUAAGGCCGAGGGUUGCGCUCGUUGCGGGACUUAACCCAACAUCUCACGACACGAGCUGACGACAGCCAUGCACCACCUGUGAUCCUGCCCCUAAGGGAAGCCCUGUUUCCAGGGCGGUCAGGAACAUGUCAAACCCAGGUAAGGUUCUUCGCGUUGCGUCGAAUUAAACCACAUGCUCCGCUGCUUGCGCGGGUCCCCGUCAAUUCCUUUGAGUUUUAGCCUUGCGGCCGUACUCCCCAGGCGGGGCGCUUAAUGCGUUAGCUCCGGCACGGAGAUCGUGGAAGACCCCCACACCUAGCGCCCAACGUUUACAGCGUGGACUAC
rnacentral:misc_RNA from 1 species